rnacentral:pre_miRNA from 1 species
AGCAUGAUUGCUGGAUUAUAAGAGUAUGUCUAGUUUUGUAAGAAAUUACAAACUGUCCUUCAAAGUGGCUGGACCAUUUUACCUUCCCAUUAGCAGU